rnacentral:rRNA from 1 species
CGAAAGAGAUUUCGGUCAAUGGAGAGGACUACUCAUUGGCGGACGGGUGAGUAACGCGUGAGGAACCUGCCUUUCAGUGGGGGACAACAGUUGGAAACGACUGCUAAUACCGCAUAACGUAUUUGUGUCGCAUGGCAUGGAUACCAAAGAUUUAUCGCUGAGAGAUGGCCUCGCGUCUGAUUAGCUAGUUGGUAGGGUAACGGCCUACCAAGGCGACGAUCAGUAGCCGGACUGAGAGGUUGGCCGGCCACAUUGGGACUGAGAUACGGCCCAGACUCCUACGGGAGGCAGCAGUGGGGAAUAUUGGGCAAUGGGCGCAAGCCUGACCCAGCAACGCCGCGUGAAGGAAGAAGGCUUUCGGGUUGUAAACUUCUUUUGACAGGGAAGAGCAGAAGACGGUACCUGUCGAAUAAGCCACGGCUAACUACGUGCCAGCAGCCGCGGUAAUACGUAGGUGGCAAGCGUUGUCCGGAUUUACUGGGUGUAAAGGGCGUGUAGCCGGGCUGACAAGUCAGAUGUGAAAUCCGGGGGCUCAACCCCCGAACUGCAUUUGAAACUGUUGGUCUUGAGUAUCGGAGAGGCAGGCGGAAUUCCUAGUGUAGCGGUGAAAUGCGUAGAUAUUAGGAGGAACACCAGUGGCGAAGGCGGCCUGCUGGACGACAACUGACGGUGAGGCGCGAAAGCGUGGGGAGCAAACAGGAUUAGAUACCCUGCUAGUCCACGCUGUAAACGAUGGAUACUAGGUGUGCGGGGACUGACCCCCUGCGUGCCGCAGCUAACGCAAUAAGUAUCCCACCUGGGGAGUACGAUCGCAAGGUUGAAACUCAAAGGAAUUGACGGGGGCCCGCACAAGCGGUGGAUUAUGUGGUUUAAUUCGAUGCAACGCGAAGAACCUUACCAGGGCUUGACAUCCUACUAACGAA